rnacentral:lncRNA from 1 species
UUAAUUAUGGUUUGUCCCCCACCCCCCAUAUAUAAGUUAGAAUAUCUUAGAUCAUUAGUUUGGUUAUCUUUUUUUUCUUUUUUUUCAGAUCUCCACCACGAAGUUUUGUUAUCACAUGAUUCACAUCGUGUAUUUUAUAAGGUUGAUACAUAAUUCACAUCGUUAGUUAGAUUGAACAAAACUAGAAGAAAAGAACCGUCUUCUUCUGUACGUAUGAUCAAUUUUUUUUAAAAAAAUGUGUAGGUACGUACGGAGUUCAAAACAUUGGUUCCAAAGAUCGCAUGAAAGAAGAAAGAAGGAAAACAAAAUCAAAGGCUACCUCAACUCAAGAUAUCACUAGCUGGUGGUAAUGAACGAAUCUAUAACUUUGGAUAUGCGAAAUACUUGAAAUUUAAACAUGUAUUCUAUUAAGUUGUAGUCUAUCAGGAUAUGUAUAAUACAAAUAUUCUUUUGAUGACUAAGAACAAGGUAAUGUAUGAAACAAAAAAAAUAAAAAAUAAUAAUGAAUGACAACUUGGA